rnacentral:ncRNA from 1 species
UAAACGAUUAUGAGCGGAAGAGUAGAAAGUUGAUUUCUGGAAAAGAGACUAUCUGGUAGCUGAAAAGGAUAGAGAAUAGGCUUUUGAACCACAUCCGUGAAUUGGCGUAUUGAACUUAGAGUAGGUACGUUCGGCUAAAGACCGUUAUUCUUGAGUUUAUUAACUCACUGAGGCUUGUUUUGUGAAAAGCAAGUGAAUAUGAGGUGGAACCGCGGAAGACGCCCUCUUA